AUCUACGGAGGACAGGAUGCAUGAAGUCUGACGAGCACGCGUGAGUGAUGAAGGUUUCGGAUCGUAAGCUCUGUUGUUAGGGANCAAUCCGUUGAAUGGGCGGUACCUUGACGGUACCCAGAAAACGGCUAACUACGUGUCAGCAGACGCGGUAAUACGUAGGUGGACUGUCUGGAAUUAUUGGGCGUAAAGGGCUCGCAGGCGGUUUCUUAAGUCUGAUGUGAAAGCCCCCGGCUCNACCGGGGAGGGGUCAUUGGAAACUGGGGAACUUGAGUGCAGAAGAGGAGAGUGGAAUUCCACGUGUAGCGGUGAAAUGCGUAGAGAUGUGGAGGAACACCAGUGGCGAAGGCGACUCUCUGGUCUGUAACUGACGCUGAGGAGCGAAAGCGUGGGGAGCGAACAGGAUUAGAUACCCUGGUAGUCCACGCCGUAAACGAUGAGUGCUAAGUGUUAGGGGGUUUCCGCCCCUUAGUGCUGCAGNUAACGCAUUAAGCACUCCGCCUGGGGAGUACGGUCGCAAGACUGAAACUCAAAGGAAUUGACGGGGGCCCGCACAAGCGGUGGAGCAUGUGGUUUAAUUUGAAGCAACGCGAAGAACCUUACCAGGUCUUGACAUCCUCUGACAAUCCUAGAGAUAGGACGUCCCCUUCGGGGGCAGAGUGACAGGUGGUGCAUGGUUGUUGUCAGCUCGUGUCGUGAGAUGUUGGGUUAAGUCCCGCAACGAGCGCAACCCUUGAUCUUAGUUGCCAGCAUUCAGUUGGGCACUUUAAGGUGACUGCCGGUGACAAACCGGAGGAAGGUGGGGAUGACGUCAAAUCAUCAUGCCCCUUAUGACCUGGGCUACACACGUGCUACAAUGGACAGAACAAAGGGCAGCGAAACCGCGAGGUUAAGCCAAUCCCACAAAUCUGUUUUCAGUUCGGAUCGCAGUCUGCAACUCGACUGCGUGAAGCUGGAAUCGCUAGUAAUCGCGGAUCAGCAUGCCGCGGUGAAUACGUUCCCGGGCCUUGUACACACCGCCCGUCACACCACGAGAGUUUGUAACACCCGAAGUCGGUGAGGUAACCUCUAGGAGCCAGCCGCCGAAUG
rnacentral:rRNA from 1 species